GACGAACGCUGGCGGCGUGCUUAACACAUGCAAGUCGAACGGAAAGGCCCUGCUUUUGUGGGGUGCUCGAGUGGCGAACGGGUGAGUAACACGUGAGUAACCUGCCCUUGACUUUGGGAUAACUUCAGGAAACUGGGGCUAAUACCGGAUAGGAGCUCCUGCUGCAUGGUGGGGGUUGGAAAGUUUCGGCGGUUGGGGAUGGACUCGCGGCUUAUCAGCUUGUUGGUGGGGUAGUGGCUUACCAAGGCUUUGACGGGUAGCCGGCCUGAGAGGGUGACCGGCCACAUUGGGACUGAGAGACGGCCCAGACUCCUACGGGAGGCAGCAGUGGGGAACAUUGCACAAUGGGCGGAAGCCUGAUGCAGCAACGCCGCGUGCGGGAUGACGGCCUUCGGGUUGUAAACCGCUUUCGCCUGUGACGAAGCGUGAGUGACGGUAAUGGGUAAAGAAGCACCGGCUAACUACGUG
rnacentral:rRNA from 1 species